AGUUUUUUUCGUAUUAGAUUGUAUUAAUGUGUUUAACUCAUUUUUAAUCUCUUCUAAAUCAGAUAAGCCAGCUUUAAUGCUUAGUUGAAUAUCUUUUUUCAUUUCUUUUAGGGUCACAACAUUAUCGUUCAAUUUAAUUUGGAAACAUCUGCCGAAUAUGCUAGAACGCUGCACCAGCUAGUGCAGCGUUACAGCAUAUUCGGCAGUUGUUUUCAAUGGUGCCAGAUGCAAAAAUUUCAGCAUGUGUAAUCGUUGGUCCGCUGAUUAAAAUAAUUUUGGCAUGUAAGCUGAAGGAUAAAAUGUCUGCUAUUGAAAAAGAAUUGCGACAUGUUGUUUAUAGUUUUUUAUGCAACAAUAAGAGUGAUAACUACAAAGAGCAUAAUUGUAUGGAAAACUUAAUUGUACGACCAAAUUUGGGUGAUGCGAGUGAAGAGCAUGGAGAACGUUUUCAUCAGGAUAUCCAUGCAAUGCAUAUCCUGAUAUGAUAUGGUGGGUGACUACACCUGGUUUUUGAUACGUGAUGACAAUAAACUUUAAAUAACUGUUCACUUCUAGUGAUUUUUGAGAUUUUGAGAGACGGCUAUCAUUAGAGCAUAAUGUAACAUUAUGUAUCAUUAGAGCAUAAUGUAACAUUAUGUAUCAUAUGAAUGUAAUGUGAUAUAACAUAACAUUUUUGGAUUAGUAAAUGUUAUAUAUUGACUAAAGUUGUAUCUCAUGCAAUUUGAUUAAUAUUAAUUAUAUGUUUAAUUGAA